AGCGAACGCUGGCGGCAGGCUUAACACAUGCAAGUCGAACGGGCGUAGCAAUACGUCAGUGGCAGACGGGUGAGUAACGCGUGGGAACGUACCUUUUGGUUCGGAACAACCCAGGGGAAACUUGGGCUAAUACCGGAUAAGCCCUUACGGGGAAAGAUUUAUCGCCGAAAGAUCGGCCCGCGUCUGAUUAGCUAGUUGGUGUGGUAACGGCGCACCAAGGCGACGAUCAGUAGCUGGUCUGAGAGGAUGAUCAGCCACAUUGGGACUGAGACACGGCCCAAACUCCUACGGGAGGCAGCAGUGGGGAAUAUUGGACAAUGGGCGCAAGCCUGAUCCAGCCAUGCCGCGUGAGUGAUGAAGGCCCUAGGUUGUAAAGCUCUUUUGUGCGGGAAGAUAAUGAC
rnacentral:rRNA from 1 species